ensembl:lncRNA
GGUUGGUUGGGGUUGGUUGGGGGGGCUCAGUUGGGGGUCAGGUGCGGUCAGUUGGGGGUCAGGUGAGGUCAGUUGGGGGGCUGAGUUGGGGGUCAGGUGGGGUCGGUUGGGGUCAGUUGGGGGGCUGAGUUGGGGGUCAGGUGGGGUCGGUUGGGGGGCUCAGUUGGGGUCGGUUGGGGGGCAGAUCAGUGGGGCGGGCUGAGCUGGGAAUGGAUCGGACCGGACUGGAUCAGGUGGGAACAGACUGGACCGGACCGGAUCCAAUUGGAUCGGACCGGAUCGGAUCAGAUGGGAUCGGACUGGAUCGGAUUGGAUCGGACCGGAUCGGAUUGGAUCGGACCAGAUCAGAUCAGAU